rnacentral:lncRNA from 1 species
GGGAAAGCUGACGGUGAAGAACCCGGAACUGUGCCAUCUCGCCUCCGUUGGUCCAAACAGUAUAUAUUUCAUGAUUCAGUAUGAAAUACCCAACAUCAUUUAUGCCAUAUUUCUACCAAGACCAACUUACAGGAAAUAAAGUAGACAUUUAGAGAAACUUAGAAUGUUCUCUAAGACAGAGAACCUACUCUCUCCAUUUUCACCAUGAAAAGACAAAGGAGAUGUUUUGGUUUUGGAAACAAUUAUUUAUAUUUUAAAUUGACAGUGGCUUUAUAGGAGAAACAAGCAAAUGAGUAAGACCCAUUCUGACAUGACAGCUCCCAACAAAUCACAGCUCAGCUUGAUAUAUCUCCAUCUGAUGUAGCCUUCUUGGUAAGAGGAACCUGUGGGAAGCUGGCCUUGCUCUGAAGACACAAAUAGGACAUAGAAAGAUAUAAAAUGAGCAUUCCUCUUCGGAUAUAUCUCCUAAAGGAAAGGUGGCAAAUGUCAUGCAGCCCCACCAGGUGGAUUUUACGCAGAGUGUAGG